CAAUAAUAAUUUCCGUUGAUCCUGCGGAAGGUUGCUGCUAUUAGGAUUCGACUAAGCCAUGCAAGUUUUCUCGUAAGAGAGGCGAAUCGCUCAGUAACACGUCAAUAAUCUGCCCUUAGAUCUGGAAUAACCCCGGGAAACUGAGGCUAAUGCCGGAUAUGAUAAUUGUACUGGAAUGUCUUUUAUCUAAAAGCUUCGGCGUCUAAGGAUGAGUUGGCGGUGGAUUAGGUUGUUGGUGGGGUAAAGGCCCACCAAGCCGAAGAUCCAUAGGGGCCUUGAGAGAGGUAGCCCCGAGAAGGGUACUGAGAUACUGACCCUAGCCCUACGGGGUGCAGCAGGCGCGAAACCUUUACAAUGCACGAAAGUGUGAUAAGGGAAUCCUAAGUGCUUAUGCUUUGCAUAGGCUUUUGCCAAGAGUAAAGAUCUUGGCGAAUAAGCGAUGGGUAAGACUGGUGCCAGCAGCCGCGGUAACACCAGCGUCGCAAGUGGCAAUCGUAAUUAUUGGGCCUAAAGCGUCCGUAGCCGGUUUGAUAAGUCUUUUGUGAAAUCGUUGAGCUUAACUUAACGGUGUGCAAAAGAAACUAUUGGACUUGGAACUGGGAGGAGUCAGAGGUAUUCUGAGGGGAGCGGUAAAAUGCUAUAAUCCUUGGGGGACCACCAGUGGCGAAAGCGUCUGACUAGAACAGCUUCGACGGUGAGGGACGAAAGCCAGGGGAGCAAAACGGAUUAGAUACCCGAGUAGUCCUGGCCAUAAACGCUGUGAGCAAGGUAUCACAUAUCCUUCGAGGAUGUGUGGUGUCGAAACGAAGGUAUUAAGCUCACCGCCUGGGAAAUAUGGUCGCAAGGCUGAAACUUAAAGGAAUUGGCGGGGGAGCACCACAAGGGGUGCGGCGUGCGGUUUAAUCUAAUUCAACACAGAGAAUCUCACCAGCAGCGACGGCAAGAUGAAGGUCAAGUUGAAGGCUUUACCAGAUGAGCCGAGAGGUAGUGCAUGGCCGUCGUCAGCUCGUGCUGUAAAGUGUCCUGCUAAGUCAGGCAACGAGCGAGACCUGUAUCUACAAUUGCUAACGACUCUUUUAGGAGAAUCGAGCACAUUGUAGAGACUGCCUUGGAAACAAGGAGGAAGGCGCAGGCUACGGUAGGUCUGUAUGCUCCGAAUCUGCUGGGCUACACGCGCGCAACAAUGGUAAGGACAAUGUGAUGCCACUCCGAAAGGAGAAGCUAAUCCUCAAAACCUUAUCUUAGUUCAGAUUGAGGAUUGUAACUCAUCCUCAUGACGAUGGAAUCCCUAGUAAUCAGACGUCAUCAGCGUCCGGUGAAUAUGUCCCUGCUCCUUGCACACACCGCCCGUCAAACCAUCCGAGCAGGGUUUAGGUGAGACUUAGUUUUUAAUUGAGCCGAACCUAAAUUCAGUGAGGCGGGUUAAGUCGUCACAAGGUAGCCGUAGGGGAACCUGCGGCUGGAUCACCUCCUU
rnacentral:rRNA from 1 species